GAAAUGCGAUAAGUAAUGUGAAUUGCAGAAUUCAGUGAAUCAUCGAAUCUUUGAACGCACAUUGCGCCCGCCAGUUUUCUGGCGGGCAUGCCUGUCCGAGCGUCAUUUCAACCAUCAAGCCCCCGGGCUUGUGUUGGGGACCUGCGGCUGCCCGCAGGCCCUGAAAACCAGUGGCGGGCUCGCUGUCACACCGAGCGUAGUAGCAAUCACCUCGCUCAGGGCGUGCUGCGGGUUCCGGCCGUUAAACAGCCUUACAAAACCCAAGGUUGACCUCGGAUCAGGUAGGAAGACCCGCUGAACUUAAGC
rnacentral:misc_RNA from 1 species